UUGGAGGGCAAGUCUGGUGCCAGCAGCCGCGGUAAUUCCAGCUCCAAUAGCGUAUAUUAAAGUUGUUGCAGUUAAAAAGCUCGUAGUUGAAUUUCGGGAUUCAUCCGUUGGUCGGGCUUCACGGUCCGUACUGGUGUGAUGGGUUCCUACCUUCUGAAUAACCGGCAUGCCAUUAAUUUGGUGCGCGGGGGAAGCAGAACUAUUACCUUGAAAAAAUUAGAGUGCUUAAAGCAGGCAAGUGCCUGAAUAGGUUAGCAUGGAAUAAUAAAAUAGGACGGCAUGGUUCUAUUUUGUUGGUUUCUAGGAUCACCGUAAUGAUUAAUAGGGAUAGUUGGGGGCAUUAGUAUUCAAUUGUCAGAGGUGAAAUUCUUGGAUUUAUCGAAGACUAACUUCUGCGAAAGCAUUUGCCAAGGAUGUUUUCAUUAAUCAAGAACGAAAGUUAGGGGAUCGAAGACGAUCAGAUACCGUCGUAGUCUUAACCAUAAACUAUGCCGACUAGGGAUCGGACGAUGUUAAUUUUUCUUGACUCGUUCGGCGCCUUACGGGAAAC
rnacentral:rRNA from 1 species